rnacentral:tRNA from 1 species
GGGAAGGUGGCUCAGUGGUAGAGUACUUGCCUUGCAUGCAUGAAGCCCUAGGUUCGAUUCCUCAGUACCA